CCUACGGGUGACAGCAGUGGGGAAUAUUGCACAAUGGGGGAAACCCUGAUGCAGCGACGCCGCGUGAGUGAAGAAGUAAUUCGUUAUGUAAAGCUCUAUCAGCAGGGAAGAAAAUGCCGGUACCUGAGUAUGAAGCCCCGGCUAACUACGUGCCAGCAGCCGCGGUAAUACGGAGGGGGCAAGCGUUAUCCGGAUUUAGUGGGUGUAAAGGGAGUGUAGACGGGAGUGCAAGUCUGGAGUGAAAGGCGGAGGCUCAACCCCCGGACUGCUCUGGAAACUGUACGGCUGGAGUGCAGGAGAGGUAAGUGGAAUGCAUGGUGUAGCGGUGAAAUGCGUAGAGAUUAGGAGGAACACCGGUGGCGAAGGCAGCUUACUGGACUGUAACUGACGUUGAGGCUCGAAAGCGUGGGGAGCAAACAGGAUUAGAUACCCGGGUAGUC
rnacentral:rRNA from 1 species